GACCCAGUGGUGGAAUGGUACCAUGCCUGCACAAUAUGUCAGUAAAUCUUGGAAAUAUUCUGUGGGAGAUCCCUGUUCAAAUCAGGGCUGGGUAA